rnacentral:rRNA from 1 species
CGGCUCAGUUCGGAUUNAAGGCUGAAAUUCGCCUUCAUGAAGCUGGAAUUGCUAGUAAUGGCAGGUCAGCAUACUGCCGUGAAUACGUUCCCGGGCCUUGUACACACCGCCCGUCACACCAUGAGAGUCGGAAAUACCCGAGGCCUGUGAGCUAACAGUAAUGAGGCAGCAGUCGAAGGUAGAGCCAAUGAUUGGGGUGAAGUCGUAACAAGGUAGC